AGGGGGUUAAUUUAAUGGUAGAAUGGCGGUCUCCAAAACCGCUCAUAAGGGUUCAAUUCCUUUACCCCCUGCCA
rnacentral:tRNA from 1 species